AUGCGCAGCAUGGACUACCACAUGUCCAGGAAACCUAGAGAUCGGCAGCACAACAGCUGCAGGUCCAGGGCCCUGGUUCUACUUAUCGUCGUCGCCACCAACACAGCCACCUUCCUCCUCUUCUCCGACGCCAGUUACUUAGUUGGCAAUGGCUCCGGCGAGCACAACCGCAGCGUCCCCUUCUGGAACUCCGGUAACAUCACGGAUUACGCUCUCGCUGCGAGCCACGAUGAGCUCGUGCACCUGCACGACCACCUCGCCACGGCAAACUCCCUUGUCGAGACGCUCCUGGGCCUAAAGGCUACUGCCAGCGACAUGGCAGCCGCCAGGGAUGAGCAGAAGCAUGUCGGGGUUGACGGACUGUGGCAAUGGGAGCUCACCAGCGAGCUCCAGCUGGCCGUCGGCCCCCACAAACUGCCAUUAGGCUUCACGAAGAACCUGGGGUCCGAUCAGCUGUUCCCGACGGUGGGGCAAGCGUGCCACCAUUUCCCGGACGAGCUGGAGCGCUAUAUGGACUACAAGCCCGGUGGCGAGUGUCCGUCCAAUGAGCAGUUUGCACAGCGGCUCAUGCUCAAGGGCUGCGAGCCAUUGCCACGACGGAGAUGCCGGCCACGCCGCCCGAUAGGGUAUGCUGAGCCCACACCACUGCCAGCGAGCCUGUGGGCCAUGCCGCCAGACACCAGCAUCGUGUGGGACGAGUACACGUGCAAGAACUACUCCUGCCUUGUCAACCGCCGCAAGACCAAGGGUUCCUACGACUGCAAAGACUGCUUCGACCUGCUCAGCGGCCGGGAGAAGGGCCGGUGGAUGCGCGACGACGGUGCACUCUCAUACUCCAUUGAUGCCGUGCUUGCAACAAAGCCAAAUGGCACGGUGCGCAUUGGGCUCGACAUUGGGGGUGGAUCAGGCACGUUUGCUGCACGGAUGCAGGAGCGUGGGGUGACCGUGGUGACCACGUCCAUGAACUUCGAUGCCCCAUUCAAUAACUUCAUAGCUUCGCGGGGUCUUCUCCCCAUGCACCUGAGCAUCGCGCACCGGCUACCGUUCUUUGAUGGCACGCUCGACAUUGUGCAUUCGAUGCAUGUGCUUAGCCACUGGAUCCCCGAUGCCAUGCUCGAGUUCACCUUGUUUGACAUUUACAGAGUGCUGAGGCCCGGAGGAUUGUUCUGGCUCGACCACUUCUUCUGCCUCGGCACGCAAAUGAACACAACAUAUGUGCCCAUGUUCAAUCAAAUCGGUUUCAACAAGGUGCGGUAG
rnacentral:rRNA from 1 species